rnacentral:rRNA from 1 species
AACGAACGCUGGCGGCGCGCUUAACACAUGCAAGUCGAACGAGAAGGCGUAGCAAUACGCUUGUACAGUGGCGAACGGGUGAGUAAUACGUGGGCGACCUACCCUCGAGUGGGGAAUAACCCGCCGAAAGGCGGGCUAAUGCCGCGUACGCUUCCAUCUUUAUGGAGGUGGAAGGAAAGCCGUGCCGUGGGCACGGCGCUCAAGGAUGGGCUCACGUCCUAUCAGCUUGUUGGAGGGUAACGGCCUACCAAGGCUCCGACGGGUAGCUGGUCUGAGAGGACGAUCAGCCACACUGGCACUGCGACACGGGCCAGACUCCUACGGGAGGCAGCAGUGAGGAAUAUUGCGCAAUGGGCGAAAGCCUGACGCAGCGACGCCGCGUGGGGGGA